ACGUUCUUGGAAAACAUUGUUAUGAUCAAUACUCUACUUUCAAGCCGUAUUUAAUUUCUGGAUCCAUUGGCAUUCUUGGAUUCUAUAUCAGAUCAUUGGGUUCAUUAAUCUACAAUUUAUUCUUCCGGAUAUAUCCUAUUGAUCCUCAAGAGAUUGAAGAUGAAUGGGAGAAAAAGAAGGAAAUAAAGGGAAGACCUUUUCGAAAUUAUUCACUAUUUUAUCGAUUUUCAUCGACAAUCGCCCAGGGUGGAUUAAUAUAUGCAGUUUUCAAUUAUCAUAAAUGUCAGAUUUUCGGAACUUUUGUCUUGUCGUUGACAAUUAUUGAAGUUAUUUGUGCUCUAGAAGCUAGAAAGUAUAAUCAACGAUUUAGUCAAGGAAAUACGAAUGAAGAAAGUUUCUUUGGAAGUUAUGCCAAAGAAUUUGACAGUUCUCUCGACUAUUAUUGGAUUUUCAUUGGAGGAUAUUUUGG